UACGGGGGGAGCAAGCGUUGUUCGGAUUUACUGGGCGUAAAGGGCGCGUAGGCGGCGCCGCAAGUCGACUGUGAAAUCUCCGGGCUUAACCCGGAAAGGUCAGCCGAUACUGCGGGGCUAGAGUGCAGAAGGGGCAACUGGAAUUCUCGGUGUAGCGGUGAAAUGCGUAGAUAUCGGGAGGAACACCAGUGGCGAAGGCGGCUCUCUGGGCCUUACCUGACGCUGAGACGCGAAAGCGUGGGGAGCGAACCGG
rnacentral:rRNA from 1 species